AUUGAACGCUGGCGGCAUGCCUUACACAUGCAAGUCGAACGGCAGCACGGGUGCUUGCACCUGGUGGCGAGUGGCGAACGGGUGAGUAAUACAUCGGAACGUACCUUAUCGUGGGGGAUAACGCAGCGAAAGCUGUGCUAAUACCGCAUACGCCCUGAGGGGGAAAGCGGGGGAUCGCAAGACCUCGCGCGAUUAGAGCGGCCGAUGCCUGAUUAGCUAGUUGGUGGGGUAAAAGCCCACCAAGGCGAGGAUCAGUAGCGGGUCUGAGAGGGGGAUCAGCCACACUGGAACUGAGACACGGCCCGGACUCCAACGGGAGGCAGCAGUGGGUAAUUUUGGACAAUGGGGGCAACCCUGAUCCAGAAAUGCCGCGUGAGUGAAGAAGGCCUUCGGGUUGUAAAGCUCUUUUGUCAGGGAAGAAACACCGGCUCUAACACAGUCCGGGAAUGACGGUACCUGAAGAAUAAGCACCGGCUAACUACGUGCCAGCCGCCGCCGUAA
rnacentral:rRNA from 1 species